rnacentral:rRNA from 1 species
UACAGAGGGUGCAAGCGUUAAUCGGAAUUACUGGGCGUAAAGCGCGCGUAGGUGGUUCGUUAAGUUGGAUGUGAAAUCCCCGGGCUCAACCUGGGAACUGCAUUCAAAACUGUCGAGCUAGAGUAUGGUAGAGGGUGGUGGAAUUUCCUGUGUAGCGGUGAAAUGCGUAGAUAUAGGAAGGAACACCAGUGGCGAAGGCGACCGCCUGGACUGAUACUGACACUGAGGUGCGAAAGCGUGGGGAGCAAACAGG